AUCGUCAGAGAUUUUGAAGAACAGGUGGACGAACACCUGUCAGGGAUGGUCUAGGGAAGGUCUCAGGGUGCAUCACUUUGUUUCUCCAACCAGUGCUGUUGAAACUCACCCUGACAGUGAGUCUCUUGAAGAAACACCUACUUCUGAUAAAUUUGUGUUGUUGAGAUCUCUUAGAAGGCAAAAACAGACUACAGCUAUAUGAGUAACCCUUGUUCUGAAAUUUGUGAUAUACUGGUAUUCUCUCUUACCUAAUAUACACUAGCAUACUAUUGGGGUUAGUACCAAGUAAUAAACUUGCUGUUUGCUUGAAGGAGGAGUUGGUAGUACAAAUAAUAAUCUGAAUUUUGAAUGUUCUUAGAUGUAUUAGUUAAGAUAAUGCUGUCCUUAUUUUCUCUUUUGUGCCUAACAGUAAGUGAUCAAAAAUCCUACUUUUGAAUUGAGAGUCACAAUGGGAUGCAUAAGGAGAGUAAUAACCUAAAUUCU